GUGGGGAAUUUUGGACAAUGGGGGCAACCCUGAUCCAGCCAUGCCGCGUGCGGGAAGAAGGCCUUCGGGUUGUAAACCGCUUUUGUCAGGGAAGAAAUCCUUUGGGUUAAUACCUCGGAGGGAUGACGGUACCUGAAGAAUAAGCACCGGCUAACUACGUGCCAGCAGCCGCGGUAAUACGUAGGGUGCGAGCGUUAAUCGGAAUUACUGGGCGUAAAGCGUGCGCAGGCGGUUUUGUAAGAUCGAUGUGAAAUCCCCGGGCUCAACCUGGGAACUGCAUUGGUGACUGCAAGGCUGGAGUGCGGCAGAGGGGGAUGGAAUUCCGCGUGUAGCAGUGAAAUGCGUAGAGAUCUGGAGGAAUACCGAUGGCGAAGGCAGCCAUCUGGCCUAAUACUGACACUGAGGUGCGAAAGCAUGGGGAGCAAACAGGAUUAGAUACCCCAGUAGUCC
rnacentral:rRNA from 1 species